rnacentral:rRNA from 1 species
GGUUUGUCGCGUUGUUCGUGAAAUCUCACGGCUUAACUGUGAGCGUGCGGGCGAUACGGGCAGACUUGAGUACUGCAGGGGAGACUGGAAUUCCUGGUGUAGCGGUGGAAUGCGCAGAUAUCAGGAGGAACACCGGUGGCGAAGGCGGGUCUCUGGGCAGUAACUGACGCUGAGGAGCGAAAGCGUGGGGAGCGAACAGGAUUAGAUACCCUGGUAGUCCACGCCGUAAACGGUGGGUACUAGGUGUGGGUUUCCUUCCUUGGGAUCCGUGCCGUAGCUAACGCAUUAAGUACCCCGCCUGGGGAGUACGGCCGCAAGGCUAAAACUCAAAGAAAUUGACGGGGGCCCGCACAAGCGGCGGAGCAUGUGGAUUAAUUCGAUGCAACGCGAAGAACCUUACCUGGGUUUGACAUGCACAGGACGCCGGCAGAGAUGUCGGUUCCCUUGUGGCCUGUGUGCAGGUGGUGCAUGGCUGUCGUCAGCUCGUGUCGUGAGAUGUUGGGUUAAGUCCCGCAACGAGCGCAACCCUUGUCUCAUGUUGCCAGCGGGUAAUGCCGGGGACUCGUGAGAGACUGCCGGGGUCAACUCGGAGGAAGGUGGGGAUGACGUCAAGUCAUCAUGCCCCUUAUGUCCAGGGCUUCACACAUGCUACAAUGGCCGGUACAAAGGGCUGCGAUGCCGCGAGGUUAAGCGAAUCCUUUUAAAGCC